rnacentral:rRNA from 1 species
CCAUGAGUGCGCGUGCUAUACAUGCAGUCGAGCGGACCGACGGGAGCUUGCUCCCUUAUGUCAGCGGCGGACGGGUGAGUAACACGUGGGUAACCUGCCUGUAAGACUGGGAUAACUCCGGGAAACCGGGGCUAAUACCGGAUGCUUGAUUGAACCGCAUGGUUCAAUUAUUAAAAGGGGCUUUUUUGUACCACUUUCGCAUGGGCCCCCGGCGCGUUUGCUAGUUGGGGAGGGAACGGGUCACCCAAGGGAAAAAGCGUAACCCAACUGAGAGGGGGAUCCGGCCCACUGGGACUGAAAAACCGCCCCAAAACCCACCGGGGGGGAAAAUAUGGAAACUUUCCCAAUGGGGGAAAAUCUGACCGAGCAACACCCCGUGAGUGAUAAAAGUUUUUCGAUCCUAAAACUCUGUUGUUUGGGAAAAAAAAGUUCCCUUUUAAUAGGGGGGUACCUUGACAGUACCCAACCCGAAAGCCACGGCUAAAUACGUGCCCCCACCCCCGGGAAAACGUAUGUGGGGAGCGUUUUCCCGAAUUAUUGGGCGUAAAGCGCGCGCAGGCGGGUUCCUAAAUCUGAUGUGAAAGCCCCCGGCUCAACCGGGGAGGGUCAUUGGAAACUGGGGAACUUGAGUGCGCAAGAAGAGAGUGGAAAUCCACCUGUACCGCUGAAAUGCGUAUAGAUGUGGAGGAAACCCCUGGCGAAAAGCGACUCUCUGGUCUGUAACUGACGCUUAGGCGCGCAAACGUGGGGAGCCCACAGGAUUUAUACCCUGGGAUGUCCCGCCCUAAACGAUGAGAGCGUAAAGGUACAGAGGUUCCCCCCCUUAGUGGGGAGCCAAACCUUAAUCAUUCCCCCGGGGAGAUACAGGUGCAAACUAAAAUC